UACGGGGGGAGCAAGCGUUGUUCGGAUUUACUGGGCGUAAAGGGCGCGUAGGCGGUCGUGACAAGUCACUUGUGAAAUCUCCGGGCUUAACUCGGAAAGGUCAAGUGAUACUGUCGGACUAGAGUACAGAAGGGGCAACUGGAAUUCUCGGUGUAGCGGUGAAAUGCGUAGAUAUCGAGAGGAACACCUGCGGCGAAGGCGGGUUGCUGGGCUGACACUGACGCUGAUGUGCGAAAGCUAGGGGAGCGAACGGG
rnacentral:rRNA from 1 species